GAUCCUGGCUCAGGAUGAACGCUGGCGGCGUGCUUAACACAUGCAAGUCGAGCGAAGCACCUAAGAAAGAUUCUUCGGAUGAAUUCUUUUGUGACUGAGCGGCGGACGGGUGAGUAACGCGUGGGUAACCUGCCUCAUACAGGGGGAUAACAGUUAGAAAUGACUGCUAAUACCGCAUAAGACCACGGUACCGCAUGGUACAGUGGUAAAAACUCCGGUGGUAUGAGAUGGACCCGCGU
rnacentral:rRNA from 1 species